CCUACGGGUGACAGCAGUGGGGAAUAUUGGGCAAUGGACGCAAGUCUGACCCAGCAACGCCGCGUGAAGGAAGAAGGCUUUCGGGUUGUAAACUUCUUUUAAGGGGGAAGAGCAGAGGACGGUACCCCUUGAAUAAGCCACGGCUAACUACGUGCCAGCAGCCGCGGGAAUACGUAGGGGGGAAGCGUUGUCCGGAUUUACUGGGUGUAAAGGGCGGGCAGCGGGGGAGAAAAGUCAGAUGUGAAAUCCACGGGCUCAACCCGUGACCUGCAUUUGAAACUGUUUCCCUUGAGUGUCGGAGAGGCAAUCGGAAUUCCGUGUGUAGCGGUGAAAUGCGUAGAUAUACGGAGGAACACCAGUGGCGAAGGCGGCUUACUGGACAGUAACUGACGCUGAGGCUCGAAAGCGUGGGGAGCAAACAGGAUUAGAUACCCGGGUAGUC
rnacentral:rRNA from 1 species